rnacentral:rRNA from 1 species
CGCGGCCUAUCAGCUUGUUGGUGGGGUAACGGCCUACCAAGGCCUCGACGGGUAGCUGGCCUGAGAGGACGAUCAGCCACACUGGGACUGAGACACGGCCCAGACUCCUACGGGAGGCAGCAGUGGGGAAUAUUGCGCAAUGGGCGAAAGCCUGACGCAGCAACGCCGCGUGGGGGAUGAAGGCUUUCGGGUUGUAAACCCCUUUCAGUGAUGACGAAAAUGACGGUAAUCACAGAAGAAGCCCCGGCCAACUACGUGCCAGCAGCCGCGGUAACACGUAGGGGGCGAGCGUUGUCCGGAUUUAUUGGGCGUAAAGAGCUCGUAGGCGGUUGCGUAAGUCGGACGUGAAAACUCAGGGCUCAACCCUGAGAUGCCGUUCGAUACUGCGCUGACUAGAGUCCGGUAGGGGAGCAUGGAAUUCCUGGUGUAGCGGUGAAAUGCGCAGAUAUCAGGAGGAACACCAGUGGCGAAGGCGGUGCUCUGGGCCGGAACUGACGCUGAGGAGCGAAAGCAUGGGUAGCAAACAGGAUUAGAUACCCUGGUAGUCCAUGCCGUAAACGUUGGGCACUAGGUGUGGGACCUACUUAACGGGUUCCGUGCCGUAGCUAACGCAUUAAGUGCCCCGCCUGGGGAGUACGG